rnacentral:rRNA from 1 species
GGUUACUGCUAUCGGUGUUCGUCUAAGCCAUGCGAGUCAUAUGUUCUUUGGAACAUGGCGUACUGCUCAGUAACACGUGGAUAACCUGCCCUUGGGUCCGGCAUAACCCCGGGAAACUGGGGAUAAUACCGGAUAACGCAUAUAUGCUGGAAUUCUUUAUGCGUGAAACGGAUUCGUCUGCCCAAGGAUGGGUCUGCGGCCUAUCAGGUAGUAGUGGGUGUAAUGUACCUACUAGCCGACGACGGGUACGGGUUGUGAGAGCAAGAGCCCGGAGAUGGAUUCUGAGACAUGAAUCCAGGCCCUACGGGGCGCAGCAGGCGCGAAAACUUUACAAUGCGGGAAACCGUGAUAAGGGGACACCGAGUGCCAGCAUCAUAUGCUGGCUGUCCGGGUGUGUAAAAUACACCUGUUAGCAAGGGCCGGGCAAGACCGGUGUCAGCCGCCGCGGUAACACCGGCGGCCCGAGUGGUGAUCGUGAUUAUUGGGUCUAAAGGGUCCGUAGCCGGUUUGGUCAGUCCUCCGGGAAAUCUGACGGCUUAACCGUUAGGCUUUCGGGGGAUACUGCCAGACUUGGAACCGGGAGAGGUAAGAGGUACUACAGGGGUAGGAGUGAAAUCUUGUAAUCCCUGUGGGACCACCUGUGGCGAAGGCGUCUUACCAGAACGGGUUCGACGGUGAGGGACGAAAGCUGGGGGCACGGACCGGAUUAGAUACCCGGGUAGUCCCAGCCGUAAACGAUGCUCGCUAGGUGUCAGGCAUGGCGCGACCGUGUCUGGUGCCGCAGGGAAGCCGUGAAGCGAGCCACCUGGGAAGUACGGCCGCAAGGCUGAAACUUAA